GUUUUGUUGUGAUGCUGGUUUAAUACAAACUCCGUGACUAAGCAAGAGUCUACUUGAAGCAAGCAGGAAUAUCUGGAGGAGUAUCAUCUGAACUGAGAUCUGCUGCUGUAAAGAUGCUGUCUGUUAAAGAGGAGAGUGAAGAGAACACGAGUGAACCAGAACCCUG